rnacentral:rRNA from 1 species
GAUGAACGCUGGCGGCGUGCUUAACACAUGCAAGUCGAACGAAGCACUUUAUUUGAUUUCCUUCGGGACUGAUUAUUUUGUGACUGAGUGGCGGACGGGUGAGUAACGCGUGGGUAACCUGCCUUGUACAGGGGGAUAACAGUUGGAAACGGCUGCUAAUACCGCAUAAGCGCACAGCAUCGCAUGAUGCAGUGUGAAAAACUCCGGUGGUAUAAGAUGGACCCGCGUUGGAUUAGCUAGUUGGUGAGGUAACGGCCCACCAAGGCGACGAUCCAUAGCCGACCUGAGAGGGUGACCGGCCACAUUGGGACUGAGACACGGCCCAAGCUCCUACGGGAGGCAGCAGUAGGGAAUAUUGCACAAUGAACGAAAGCCUGAUGCAGCGACGCCGCGUGAGCGAAGAAGUAUUUCGGUAUGUAAAGCUCUAUCAGCAGGGAAGAUAAUGACGGUACCUGACAAAGAAGCACCGGCUAAAUACGUG